rnacentral:rRNA from 1 species
UACGUAGGGUGCAAGCGUUAAUCGGAAUUACUGGGCGUAAAGCGUGCGCAGGCGGUUGUGCAAGACCGAUGUGAAAUCCCCGGGCUUAACCUGGGAAUGGCAUUUGGGACUGCAAGGCUGGAGUGUGGCAGAGGAGACUGGAAUUCCUGGUGUAGCAGUGAAAUGCGUAGAUAUCAGGAGGAAUACCGAUGGCGAAGGCAGGUCUCUGGGCUGACACUGACGCUCAUGCACGAAAGCGUGGGGAGCAAACAGG